AUUGAACGCUGGCGGCAGGCUUAACACAUGCAAGUCGAGCGAGCGGCGGACGGGUGAGUAAUUUCUGGGACACUGCCUGAUGGAGGGGGAUAACUACUGGAAACGGUAGCUAAUACCGCUUACCGUCAGUUGUCCCCAGAUGGGAUUAGCUAUUAGGUGGGGUAAUGGCUCACCUAGGCGACGAUCCCUAUCUGGUCUGAGAGGAUGACCAGCAAACCUGGAACUGAGCCACGGCCCAGACUCCUACGGGAGGCAGCAGUGGGGAAUAGUGCACAAUGGGCGCAAGCCUGAUGCAGCCAUGCCGCGUGUGUGAAGAAGGCCUUCGGGUUGUAAAGCACUUUCAGCGAGGAGGCGUUACUCGCAGAAGAAGUACCGGCUAACUCCGUGCCAGCAGCCGCGGUAAUAC
rnacentral:rRNA from 1 species